GAACGCUGGCGGCGUGCUUAACACAUGCAAGUCGAACGAGAACGGAUUAUAGCUUGCUAUAAUUGUCAGCUAAGUGGCGCACGGGUGAGUAAUAUAUAGGUAAUGUGCCCUAGAGAAGAGGAUAACAGUUGGAAACGACUGCUAAGACUCUAUAUGCCUUUAAGACAGAAGUCUGCAAGGGAAAUAUUUAUAGCUCUAGGAUCAGCCUGUACAGUAUCAGUUAGUUGGUGAGGUAAUGGCUCACCAAGACAAUGACACUUAACUGGUUUGAGAGGAUGAUCAGUCACACUGGAACUGAGACACGGUCCAGACUCCUACGGGAGGCAGCAGUGGGGAAUAUUGCACAAUGGACGAAAGUCUGAUGCAGCAACGCCGCGUGGAGGAUGACACAUUUCGGUGCGUAAACUCCUUUUAUAUGGGAAGAUAAUGACGGUACCAUAUGAAUAAGCACCGGCUAACUCCGUG
rnacentral:rRNA from 1 species